rnacentral:rRNA from 1 species
AAACUCCGCAAUGCGCGCAAGCGUGACGGGGGGAUUCUGAGUGCUUCGGUUUCACCGAGGCUUUUCGUGAGGGUAAAGACCUCGCGGAAUAAGUGGUGGGCAAGACCGGUGCCAGCCGCCGCGGUAACCCCGGCGCCACAAGUGGGAACCACGAUCAUUGGGUCUAAAGCAUCCGUAGCCGGCUCGCUAAAUGCCCUGUGAAAUCGUUCCGCUCAACGGGACGGCGCGCAGGGUAGACUGGCGAGCUUGGGACCAGGAAAAGUAGGCGGUAUUCAGUGGGGAGCGGUAAAAUGCUAUAAUCCGCUGAGGACCACCAAUGGCGAAGGCAGCCUACUAGAAUGGAUUCGACGGUGAGGGAUGAAAGCUAGGGGAGCGAUCCGGAUUAGAUACCCGAGUAGUCCUAGCCGUAAACGCUGCGUGCCAGAUGUUGCACCAUCCUCGUGAUGGUGCAGUGUCGCAACGAAGGUGUUAAGCACGCCACCUGGGAAGUACGGUCGCAAGGCUGAAACUUAA